rnacentral:rRNA from 1 species
UGGGGAAUUUUGGACAAUGGGCGAAAGCCUGAUCCAGCAAUGCCGCGUGUGUGAAGAAGGCCUUCGGGUUGUAAAGCACUUUUGUCCGGAAAGAAAUCCUUGGCUCUAAUACAGUCGGGGGAUGACGGUACCGGAAGAAUAAGCACCGGCUAACUACGUGCCAGCAGCCGCGGUAAUACGUAGGGUGCAAGCGUUAAUCGGAAUUACUGGGCGUAAAGCGUGCGCAGGCGGUUUGCUAAGACCGAUGUGAAAUCCCCGGGCUCAACCUGGGAACUGCAUUGGUGACUGGCAGGCUAGAGUAUGGCAGAGGGGGGUAGAAUUCCACGUGUAGCAGUGAAAUGCGUAGAGAUGUGGAGGAAUACCGAUGGCGAAGGCAGCCCCCUGGGCCAAUACUGACGCUCAUGCACGAAAAGCGUGGGGAGCAAACAGGAUUAGAUACCCUGGUAGUCCACGCCCUAAACGAUGUCAACUAGUUGUUGGGGAUUCAUUUCCUUAGUAACGUAGCUAACGCGUGAAGUUGACCGCCUGGGGAGUACGGUCGCAAGAUUAAAACUCAAAUGAAUUGACGGGGUCAUAGCUG